CUUUUGUUGUGCAACCCAAUGAAAGACCUCUGGGGCGGGGAGACCCUCACUCAAGUCUCGGGAUGACACAAUUCCCCAAGAACUCACUUGAGACU
rnacentral:pre_miRNA from 14 species